CCCUUAGAUGUCCUGGGCCGCACGCGCGCUACACUGACAUGUUCAACAAGCCUCCUAGUUCGACAGGAUUUGGGAAAUCUUUGAACGCAUGUCGUGAUAGGGAUAGAUCAUUGCAAUUAUUGAUCUUGAACGAGGAAUUCCUAGUAAACGCGAGUCAUCAGCUCGCAUUGAUUACGUCCCUGCCCUUUGUACACACCGCCCGUCGCACCUACCGAUUGAAUGUUUCUGUGAAGAUUCCGGAUAGGACUUUUUUGAUUUAUUUCAAUUUUGUCUUAAAAGCUAUCUAAACCUCAACAUUUAGAGGAAGGUGAAGUCGUAACA
rnacentral:rRNA from 1 species